CCAGAGAACUUAGCAGAGAUGCUUUGGUGCCUUCGGGAACUCUGAGACAGGUGCUGCAUGGCUGUCGUCAGCUCGUGUUGUGAAAUGUUGGGUUAAGUCCCGCAACGAGCGCAACCCUUUAUCCUUUGUUGCCAGCGGCUCGGCCGGGAACUCAAAGGAGACUGCCGGUGAUAAACCGGAGGAAGGUGGGGAUGACGUCAAGUCAUCAUGGCCCUUACGGCCAGGGCUACACACGUGCUACAAUGGCGCAUACAAAGAGAAGCGACCUCGCGAGAGCAAGCGGACCUCAUAAAGUGCGUCGUAGUCCGGAUUGGAGUCUGCAACUCGACUCCAUGAAGUCGGAAUCGCUAGUAAUCGUAGAUCAGAAUGCUACGGUGAAUACGUUCCCGGGCCUUGUACACACCGCCCGUCACACCAUGGGAGUGGGUUGCAAAAGAAGUAGGUAGCUUAACCUUCGGGAGGGCGCUUACCACUUUGUGAUUCAUGACUGGGGUGAAGUCGUAACAAGGUAAGCGUAGCGAG
rnacentral:rRNA from 1 species